UGAGGAAUAUUGGUCAAUGGGCGAGAGCCUGAACCAGCCAUGCCGCGUGAAGGAAGAAGGCCCUAAGGGUUGUAAACUUCUUUUGUACCAGGGUAACAGCCUUUACGUGUAAAGGUAUGAAAGUAUGGUACGAAUAAGGAUCGGCUAACUCCGUGCCAGCAGCCGCGGUAAUACGGAGGAUACGAGCGUUAUCCGGAUUUAUUGGGUUUAAAGGGUGCGCAGGCGGGCUUGUAAGUCAGUGGUGAAAGACUACCGCUUAACGGUAGCAUUGCCAUUGAUACUGCAGGCCUUGAGUACAUUUGAAGUGGGCGGAAUGUGUAGUGUAGCGGUGAAAUGCUUAGAUAUUACACAGAACACCGAUAGCGUAGGCAGCUCACUAAGAUGCAACUGACGCUCAGGCACGAAAGCGUGGGUAUCAAACA
rnacentral:rRNA from 1 species